rnacentral:sRNA from 1 species
GCCAGGCAGCGUGGUGCAUACCUGUAAUCCCAGUGACUCGGGAGGCUGAGGCAGGAGAAUUGCAAGUUUGAGGCCAGCCUUGGAAAUUUAGUGAGACUCUGUCUCAA